rnacentral:rRNA from 1 species
ACGCUGGCGGCAGGCCUAACACAUGCAAGUCGAGCGGUAGAGAGAAGCUUGCUUCUCUUGAGAGCGGCGGACGGGUGAGUAAUGCCUAGGAAUCUGCCUGGUAGUGGGGGAUAACGUCCGGAAACGGACGCUAAUACCGCAUACGUCCUACGGGAGAAAGCAGGGGACCUUCGGGCCUUGCGCUAUCAGAUGAGCCUAGGUCGGAUUAGCUAGUUGGUGGGGUAAUGGCUCACCAAGGCGACGAUCCGUAACUGGUCUGAGAGGAUGAUCAGUCACACUGGAACUGAGACACGGUCCAGACUCCUACGGGAGGCAGCAGUGGGGAAUAUUGGACAAUGGGCGAAAGCCUGAUCCAGCCAUGCCGCGUGUGUGAAGAAGGUCUUCGGAUUGUAAAGCACUUUAAGUUGGGAGGAAGGGCAGUAAAUUAAUACUUUGCUGUUUUGACGUUACCGACAGAAUAAGCACCGCCUAACUCUGUGCCAGCAGCCGCGGUAAUACAGAGGGUGCAAGCGUUAAUCGGAAUUACUGGGCGUAAAGCGCGCGUAGGUGGUUCGUUAAGUUGGAUGUGAAAUCCCCGGGCUCAACCUGGGAACUGCAUUCAAAACUGACGAGCUAGAGUAUGGUAGAGGGUGGUGGAAUUUCCUGUGUAGCGGUGAAAUGCGUAGAUAUAGGAAGGAACACCAGUGGCGAAGGCGACCACCUGGACUGAUACUGACACUGAGGUGCGAAAGCGUGGGGAGCAAAC